rnacentral:misc_RNA from 1 species
GAAAGAACGAAGAGAUAGAGAUAGAGAUAGAGAGAGAGAGAGAGAGAGAGAGAGAGAGAGAGAGAGAGAGAGAGAGAGAGAGAGAGACAGAGAGAGAGAGAUAGAGAUAAAGAGAGAGAGUUGUGACGCAGUGCAGAGAAAGUGGACGGAAGGUGGAUUGUGUCUAAUAGAAAUGAAAAGCUUCCUCAGACUAUAGGAAGUGAGACAGGGAGGAAAGGAGGAGGAGGAGGAGGAGGAGGAGGAGGAGGAGGAGGAGGAGGAGGAGGAGGAGGAGGAGUUAGUGGAGAAAGAGAGGUGGAGGACGAGGCGGAGGAAGAAGAGGAGGAGGACGAAGACAAAAGAGAAAGAUAGCAUUAAUAUAGAGAACAGCAAAUAGGAGUAAGAGGAGGAGGAGGAGGAGGAGGAGGAGGAGGAGGAGGAGGAGGAGGAGGAGGAGGAGGAGGAGGAGAAGUGGGAGGAGGUGAGACAACAAAAUACAAAAGGAAAAGGAAGUGCGCGAGUGUCAGGAAAAGAGAGACACUUCUGAGGUGAAGAAGCAAACUGGACGAGGGAACUUUUACCCAAAACACAAAGAAAAAGAAAGAAACAGACACAGAAACAAGAGAGGAAGGAGAAAAGAAAAAGAAGAAGAAGAGGAAGGAGAAGAAGAAGAAGAAGAAGAAGAAGAAGAAGAAGAAGAAGAAGAAGAAGAAGAAGGGGAGAAGGGUACAUAAUUUUCUUCAAUAAACGGAGCGUCUUCGGGGCGCUAAAAUUUUCCAAUAUGGAGUCGUAGACGGAGGAUGCUCGCCAACAGCAUGGAACAAAAUGAAUGGAAAGUUCCUCCCGACAACACGGUCCAAGUGGUGGACCCUAUGGGCAUGAAUGAGAGCUGGGUAGAGUAUCUUGAAUAUCUGCGGAAGAAGGAGAAGCCUGAAGGUCCCAAGAGAAACUGGAUAGGCAUCUUUAUCUCACUGGGCAUCAUCAGCUUCGUGCUCAUCAUGGUCACCAUCGCCACCUUCAUCGUGGGAGAUCCGCCGCCGCUGUUCUACGGGCGGCGCAUCGUCAUCACAGACCUCCAAGACCCCGAGCUCAUGGCCUCGCCUAUGGGCACGCAGUGGGUGGCAGAUGACCAGCUGGCGUACUUGUCAGAGGGGCAAGGGAUACGCAUGCUCAACACACGCUCCAGGCUCAACAUCACCCUCGUCACCAAUAUUGCUCUGCACCAGACGGGCGCCGAGGAAUUCUUUGUGUCGUCUGAUCUUCGCUACGUGCUGCUCGUGCAUGACGUCAUCAAGGGUCGCCUGUACACGCGGACGGCAGAGUACAGCAUCUACGACAUCACCACAGACCACUACUACCCACUCAAGCUCUGGCGCCAUGACGUGGAGCAGCCGAGGUUCCAGCACGUGGCCUGGGUGGGCAAUACCGGGUCCGCGAUGGUGGUGGUGCACGAGGCUAACUUGUACCUGCUCCCGGGGCCCAACAUGAACCCUGUCACGCUGACCAACGAUGCCAAGCCAGACCUGCUAUACAACGGUGUUCCUGAUAUACUCUAUGAGGAGAUCUUGGGCCGAAACAACGCAGUGUGGCCGAGUCCUACAGGCGAGUACCUCAUUGCUGCGUCCUUCAACGAGUCAGGAGUCAGGGAGCUGCCCGUCCUGGUGUACUCAGAGAACGUGUACCCGACCAUACACAACCUGCGAUACCCGACAGUCAACACGCCCAUUCCUGAGGUGUGGCUGUGGGUUUACGACCUUAAAAGUCACGAAAUACCACGACCAAGAACUCGAUUAGUGCCUCCUGAACCCAUCACUCGGUCUCAUUACUUGGUCAGUGUGGGCUGGGUGAAUGGGUCAACAGCGUGGGUGUCGUGGGCGUCGAGGGACCAGAGCACUGCAGUCCUGGCCACCUGCGACAACUCUACCUGGAACUGCUCCCUGGUCCAUGUGAACCACAAGGAGGGCGGUGGCGUGUCCCCUGUGGUUGGGUCAGUGGUGUGGGCUGGCAGCUGGGCCGUCUUCCCCUGGUCAGUCAAAACCCUAUCGGGCGCCUGGCACAACCACGUGGCUCUAGUGGGUGCCAAAGAGGGCCGCCACGCUCCCCUCACCCUGGAGGACUACGACGUGACGGAGGUGCUCGGGUAUGACACCAACAGGAGCCUCGUCUACUUCAGAGGUUCGGUGCUGCAGAAUGGCGCGGGCAGGCAGCAGGUGUACAGCGUGCAGAUGGAGGAUCAGAAGGUGGCGUGUGUUACCUGCCAACUGGGCUGCCCCUACGUGGAGGCCAACCCCAACCCCGCCCUCACCUACAUGGUGGUGACCUGCCUGGGCACCGACCUGCCCUCCUCACACCUCCUGCGCCUUGCCACUAACAAAACACGCGCCUUCUCCACGCCCCUCCACAAGCAGGAACACUUGAGGUUAGCCCUCAAGGAUCUCGCCCUCCCUAUAGUGAACUCCUUCGAUGUGGCCCUGGAGCCCGCCCUGCACGCCGCCGUCACCCUCACAUUGCCCCCGGGGUGGUCCAACCAAGAUGACACGCUUCUCUACCCGAUGGUCGUGCAGAUGAUCGGGCCGGGCGAGAAGGACGUGGAGGAGCAGCUGUGGCACCUGGGCUGGCGGGAGUAUCUGUCAUCGGGCCACCAGGUCGCCCACGCCAAGGUGCAGCUGUGGGGCGGCGACCCGUCCACGAGGGCCUCCACCCACACCCUGGCCAUGCACCAGGCGAAGGUGGUCAGGAAGAUGCUAGAGCAGUUUGACUUCCUGGACGGUGACAACGUGGCUGUGUGGGGGUGGGGUUCCGGCGCCUCCCUCGCCCUGGACGCCGCCGCACUGGAGCCUUCCCUCAUCAAGUGUGUGGCCGCCGUCAACCCCGUAGUCGACUGGCGCGCUCACGGCUCGUUCUGGGCGGAGCGGCUUCUGGGGUCGUCCACCAGUGAAGGGUCAGGACGCCGAUACGAGGACAGCGAUCUGACCCGCCUGGCGCCUUCACUCGGCAAAGGGCGAGUUCUGUUAGCACACGGCACCCGAGACCCCGCAGCCCACCACGCCUUCCUGCUGGCCCACGCCCUCAUCUCCAGCGAGACUUACUUCACCCAUGUGGUGUACCCGGACCUAAGUUACCCGCUGUCCAUGGUUCGCCUCCAUCUGUACGAGGAGUUGGACCACUUCCUCCUGCAGAAGAGUUGUGUGGGUCGCCCCCUCGAGAGGAAAGUCACUCUCGAUUGGGUCUAACUUAUUAUUUCUCCUGCCGCGCCGCCACCCACCACCAAGAGGUCUGCGUCAAGAACACGAGGUCUACACUGACGACGACUACAUGCUGGACCUCAACCGCUACCAUCUCAUCAAUGCCUUCACCGAAUUCUUUUUCACCUGGCUCCACGACCCCCUUACCUACGAGCUGCAGGAGGCCUGAGUCACCACGCCCACG